CCUACGGGGUGCUGCAGUGGGGAAUAUUGGGCAAUGGAGGCAACUCUGACCCAGCAACGCCGCGUGAGUGAUGAAGGUCUUCGGAGUGUAAAACUCUUUAAGUGGGGACGAAGAAAGUGACUGUACCCACAGAAUAAGAGUCGGCUAACUACGGGCCAGCAGACGCGGUAAUACGUAGGAGGCAAGCGUUAGCCGGAACGAAGGGGCGUAAAGGGUGCGUAGGUGGUUCGGCAAGUUAGUAGCGUAAUUCCGGGGCUCAACCUCGGAACGACUCCUAAAACUGUUGGGCUUGAGUGCAGGUGAGGCCUCUGGAAUUCCUCGUGUAGCGGUGAAAUGCUUAGAUAUU
rnacentral:rRNA from 1 species